rnacentral:rRNA from 1 species
GACGAACGCUGGCGGCGUGCUUAACACAUACAAGUCGAACGGAAAGGCCCUGCUUUUGUGGGGUGCUCGAGUGGCGAACGGGUGAGUAACACGUGAGUAACCUGCCCUUGACUUUGGGAUAACUUCUGAAACUGGGGCUAAUACCGGAUAGGAGCUCCUGCUGCAUGGUGGGGGUUGGAAAGUUUCGGCGGUUGGGGAUGGACUCGCGGCUUAUCAGCUUGUUGGUGGGGUAGUGGCUUACCAAGGCUUUGACGGGUAGCCGGCCUGAGAGGGUGACCGGCCACAUUGGGACUGAGAUACGGCCCAGACUCCUACGGGAGGCAGCAGUGGGGAAUAUUGCACAAUGGGCGGAAGCCUGAUGCAGCAACGCCGCGUGCGGGAUGACGGCCUUCGGGUUGUAAACCGCUUUCGCCUGUGACGAAGCGUGAGUGACGGUAAUGGGUAAAGAAGCACCGGCUAACUACGUG